rnacentral:rRNA from 1 species
AACGAACGCUGGCGGCAGGCUUAACACAUGCAAGUCGAGCGCCCCGCAAGGGGAGCGGCAGACGGGUGAGUAACGCGUGGGAACGUACCUUUUGGUUCGGAACAACUCCGGGAAACUGGAGCUAAUACCGGAUAAGCCCUAACGGGGAAAGAUUUAUCGCCGAAAGAUCGGCCCGCGUCUGAUUAGCUAGUUGGUGAGGUAACGGCUCACCAAGGCGACGAUCAGUAGCUGGUCUGAGAGGAUGAUCAGCCACACUGGGACUGAGACACGGCCCAGACUCCUACGGGAGGCAGCAGUGGGGAAUAUUGGACAAUGGGCGCAAGCCUGAUCCAGCCAUGCCGCGUGAGUGAUGAAGGGCUUAGGGUUGUAAAGCUCUUUUGUCCGGGAAGAUAAUGACUGUACCGGAAGAAUAAGCCCCGGCUAAUUUCGU